UACGGGGGGGGCAAGCGUUGUUCGGAAUUACUGGGCGUAAAGGGCUCGUAGGCGGCCAACUAAGUCAGACGUGAAAUCCCUCGGCUUAACCGGGGAACUGCGUCUGAUACUGGAUGGCUUGAGUUUGGGAGAGGGAUGCGGAAUUCCAGGUGUAGCGGUGAAAUGCGUAGAUAUCUGGAGGAACACCGGUGGCGAAGGCGGCAUCCUGGACCAACACUGACACUGAGGAGCGAAAACCAGGGGAGCAAACGGG
rnacentral:rRNA from 1 species